CACUAAUAUUGUGCUUCUCUCUCAAAAAUUGAGUAAAGUUAGGUCAAUAUCCACUCACCACCAAGUGGAACUGCAUCCAAUGGAUAGAAACUUGGUUUCUUCCUUUGUGAUGACAGCCAGGAGGUAAUAAUUUAUGCUUUAGAGAGAGAAGCUUCCAAUGAGAGCAUUUCCUAUAUAAACACCUUAAUACUCUUGGACUGCAAAAUAGUACAUGGAAAUCUAGUGAAAAGCUGCUUCACUAGUGACCAUUACUAUUGAUGGGGACCUUCAAUGAAAAAUUUUUGAUUCUUUUGAUAUUUGUUUUGUUGGGUCUUUCCUCUUUGGUAUCCAUUAAAGCUAUUCCUCUAACCAGGAGCCUGCAGAUGGAAAAUCACUACCUUCAAUCUGCAGAUGAUACCAACCAGUUGGUGACUGAGGAAAUUGGAGAAGAAGUGAUCAAUGGCAGGAUGGAUAUCGAGUGUUGUGAUUAUCCGGUAUCCGGGGCCAACCGUAGACAUACUCCACGACAACCAGGGGGAAAACGUUAAGUCAUGGGAUGGUGGUUCACAUUUGUGGGUUUGAACCGGAAAGGAACGCAGAGGGAGUCGGACACAAGCUCCCAGCAACCAGUAGCCCGGCGAGCUUGCACAUUGCCCUGGUCUUUGUCUAGAAAAAUUAAUGAUCAUCAUAUGCGUGUGUGCAUGUGUGUAUUUCGAUUUCUUUUUCUUUUGCUCCGUUGUCGGGAUAAAGCUCGAAUAAUGAUGAUCAUGAAAAUUUUGGAAAUUCGAUUAAGUAUUAAGGUAUUUUAUUGUGAAUGUAAUCACAAAUUGGGUCCAAAAUGGG